rnacentral:sRNA from 1 species
UUUUUUUUCUGUUUUUG